GCCGAAAUAGCUCAGUUGGGAGAGCGUCAGACUGAAGAUCUGAAGGUCCUUGGUGCAAUCCGGAGAGUUUGUA
rfam:Nematostella vectensis strain CH2 x CH6 NEMVEscaffold_224_Cont19623, whole genome shotgun sequence.